UACAGAGCAUGUUUAAUCCUAAGCUCCGGCAUUUAAUUUUUGUUCUAUUUUAACAGAAUUUUUCCAGUAUCAGACACAGUUUAAAUGACGCGAUUGAACGCAGUAGGCAUCGACUGGAUCUUCUUGAAGCAAAGCUGGACCAGAGUAAAACGGACUUGCAGCAGGACAUGUCCAGCAAGAUAAGUGCUCUGCAGGGAGAUUUAAGCCAAAGUAAAGCUGAUGUUGCGUCCAUUAAAAGUGGCAUCAGAGAAUUGAGAGGAAAAUACGAUAGGCUGGCUCUCGCCCUCUCGGGAUCAACACUUCUGCAAGCUUCCAUGACCACACUGCCCUUACUAUUUGUAUCAGUAUUCGCGCCACUUUUCAUGUAGGACACUUGUAAACGGGAUUUAGUGUCAUAGCCGUCAACAGAAGACCGGUUUUAUUGCGAGCCCCCACUGUAAAGUUGACUUAAGUGCAUGUUUAUUUCUUUUAAAGCUUGAUUGUGAUAGGAUACAUGCCAAAAUUCUUACUUAACCAGCUUCAGAAGACUACUGGUUUUUAGCACUAAGGGACAAGUAUAAAAGGACCUCCCACCGAUGUUUUAUAUCAUCAAGACAGUGGUGAUCUGUUUUUGUUAAGUGAACUCAGUAUCUACGUAUCUAACCUUUUAUACAGACUGUGUAUAAUUAUUAUGCCUUUUUAGUACUUUUUUUUAUUUUUCUGUUGCCAAUGAGUGUGUCGUUACAUUCAAUAGCAUUAAACUUGAUGCCGAAAGAUCGAUCAUGUUGACUAUUGUAUUGUAUUGUAUUGUAUUGUAUCGUAUUGUAUUGUAUUGUAGAAAAGUAGCUGUGUUGUACAAAAGAAGAUAUUUUUAAUGCCCUUAAAUAUGUAUUUGUGAACUGCUAUGUGCAACUUACAUGUGGCCAUCUUUGAAGGUCUUGUGAGCGCAUAAUUAAGUGUCGCUCGUUUUUGGCGCUAUUUGUUUUCCAUAUUCACUUUGCUGAAAAUCGCGUUUGGUUUUACAUGUAUUAUUCACAUAUCAGAGACUUUUAAGGUUUAUUUUGAAAAAUCAAAGUGUAAAGAUGAACAUAGAAGUGCAAUGCAAAUUUAUUUUUAUUACGCAUUUUUAACAUUAAAGCCACAAUGUGCUUUGGAAGUAUAUGUACAAUCAGCUUAUGAAGCUUUUUUUGUAUUUUUCUUACUUCAUUUAUCAAUCGUUAUUUAUUACUUUUAUAAUGUAGACUAAAUGCUCACUUUAAAAGGUGCACAUUUAUUUUAAUGGAAAUUUUCACGUUUCCAAACUGAAAGCUAACGAAACGUGUUUCGACUUUCCAUGUGGCACAAACGAUAUGAUUUUUCUGUAAAAUUGAUAUGGCUAUGAAGAAAAUGAUGUAAUUUGAGCUGACGCAGAAAAUAAUGUGUGAUUUUUUUUCAGGAAAAGACUUCCACUGAUUGAAUUAAUACUAUACCAUGUAUGAAAAACUGAAGAGUGUUAAUUACAAUGUUUUCAUUAUGGUCCCUGACAGCCAGAUAACAAAGAAAAAAUUAAAUUGUAGUGCAAAAACGUUGAAAUUUUUUUGACCCAAUUCUAUAGCGUAUAUUUACAUAUCAAAACAUUAUCCUGCUUAUCAGAUCAUAUUUCUAUCGUUUGUAUAAAAUGUUUAUACCCUCACCCAGACACCAACAAGUGGUGUUAAUGUGAUAAUGGAACACUGUACCUGUAUCUAUGUAAACUGCUAUAAACAUUUUGAAUUAAAAAAAAAACAUUUUGA
rnacentral:lncRNA from 1 species